rnacentral:rRNA from 1 species
UAAUACAUGCAUGUCGAACGAAGCACUUGUGCUUAGUGGCAAAUGGGCUGAGUAACACGUACUUAAUCUACCCCCAAGUUUGGGAUAACAGUUGGAAACAAUUGCUAAUACCAAAUACAUAUAAGUUUUGCAUAAUUCUUAUAUAAAAGGAGCGUUUGUUUCGCUAGGGGAUGAGAGUGCGCUACAUUAGUUAGUUGGUAGGGUAAGAGCCUACCAAGACUAUGAUGUAUAGCGGGGCUGAGAAGCUGAACCGCCAUACUGGGAUAGAGAUACGGCCCAGACUCCUACGGGAGGCAGCAGUAGGGAAUAUUCCACAAUGAGCGAAAGCUUGAUGGAGCAACACAGCGUGCAGGAAGACGACCUUAGGGUUGUAUACUGCUGUUAUGAGGGAAGAAAAAUAAAAUUAGGAAAUGAAUUUUACAUGACGGUACCUCAUCAGAAAGCACCGGCAAACUAUGUGCCAGCAGCCGCGGUAAUACAUAGGGUGCAAGCGUUAUCCGGAAUUAUUGGGCGUAAAGUGUCUGUAGGUGGUAUGUUAAGUCUAGUGUUAAAGACUAGGGCCCAACCCUAGCACGCUCUAGAUACUGACAUGCUAGAGUCAUAGAGNAGUUAGCGGAACUCCUAGUGAA